CUCCCCGGAGACAGAGGGUCUGGUCACAUUGGCUCCUGAAGUUUGGGAGGAAAAGGCCAGUUUGCUGCCAGUGAGGAAAAGCUGAUGAGGAAUUGCAGUUAAUGGAAUCGGGCCCUCGGUAGUUAGGAAUGGCUUCCUUUGGGGUAAAAGAACAAACUUUUGCCUCCUGCCCGUUACCUUCAUUGGGCUCAAGUGUUUCUCUUCUGUUUGUUCCUACUAAUUUUACGGGCAACUUGGCAACAGUUUUUUACUUUGGAUUCAUAACUCAAUUUUUAUUAGUAUGUGGUGUCAGUGCAGUUGAUUUUUGAGCACCUAGAUGCCAGUAGAAAUGUAGUGAAUGAAACACAACGGAAACGGAUGCGUCACUUGAUUUUUAUUCUGUUUUUUUUUUUUUUUAAUUCGAGUAGCAAUGGCAUGUUUUUCUAUGGCUCAGUCCACAUUGUUCCAAGGAGCCUUCAGUCUAGGCCUUUUAAGUAAAAAGAAUGGAGUUUGUCGUUCCAUGAAAGGACUGGUCCUUCGUAGGCCUGAGGUGUAGACUGGGAGGGUCUCCUAAGGACGUGAUCAGGGUGAAAGCCAAAUUUCUGCCAAUGUAGCUGCUGUUGGUCUUCGCUGUUGUUGAUGCCCUCACAGCUCCCUCGCGGGUGGGAGCUCUGACUCUCAAUUUUUUUUCAGUCUCUAACACGUUUUUUUUUCCCCCAAGGAGAGGCUUCAUUGCAAAGUGAAUGAUUUUCCUCCCAGACGUGCCAGUGACUACCAUCAAGUUACGACUAUUAAAAGCACAAAAGCGACAUGCUCUUAAAGAUGGGGACUACUUCUGGACACGUGUUAAUCCUGUGCAGGUGUCCUUGGGAUACAGAUAGUCUGCGCUUCCUGCUCUGACAAGACAGUGUGCCCGAGACAGGGAUGAGCUCCAGAAUGUCAACUGCCACUGUUUCUCCGGGGUCGCCCUUUCUUCUGCUGCGACAGCACAGUACAGAUGGAGAGGAUCUGGGGCGCUCCGCGAGUACAAGGGUUGGCUGAGAGCAGUCCACCAGGAAGGCACACGGGUGCUGUCCCUCACUGAAUUUCCAUGUGGUGAGAGAGAGAUGCCACCUCUUAAGCAAGAGCCAGGGUCUUGGCUUGAGGAAAGAAAAGCUUUCCGAAGCACCGUUUCAUUUUUGAAAGACCUGAUUGCAAAACUACAACAUCACAGAGAAGCUGAGGUAUAAAUAAGAUGAGAUGCUAGCUAAAUAAAAAAAUAACGUAUGAUAAUCUUAUGAGGUGCAUUCACAAUUUGGGUUUAAAUGCUUUAAAUAUACUGCUGCAAAGCAAAAUAUUUCAGGAAUAUGCAAUAAAACUGCCCAUCACACUUUCUUGUAAUAAAUACAUCUUAAAUGACAGCUUGCAUUUGUUGUUCUGUGCAUGGAUAGCUUUUGACUGCACAGAUUGACCUUUUAAAAGUCUUUGUAUUUUGAAAGCAUGUUUCCAGUACCCGUUAAAGUACAUUUUUUUUUUUUAAUGUUGUUAUUUCUUGGUGUAGUAGAAUGCUACACAAGUAUUCUACAAGUAUUCUACAAGUAGAACUUGGAUGCUAGUAAAAGAUACUGUAGUGAGAGAAAAGAGGGGGAAAAUUGUAAAAUAAAACUCACCAUUCAUCAUUAAUCAAUUAAAACUUAUUAGGCCUUGCCUGUCUAAUUA